GUGGUGGUUGUGGAAUGCUCUUUCUUUAGGGCUUUCUGUGGCUCUCCUUUGUAUUUGUGUCACAGUUUUCGACAUCACCAUAUUGGAGAGGUCUUCACUGAGCACUGUCUCACCUCAGCCUUGAGGCUUGCUGACUCAUCAUCCUUUCAUUUUCCACGAAGUGCUGCUGGCUUUUUUUCCACCCACUGCAGCACAGUAGCUCUGACAACCCAGAUCGUGCCUGUCUUACUUCCUUCUCAAGCAGGUGCUCAACAAACAUUCAUAGAGUGAAUCUGUGGCAUUAAAGUGUUCUCUAAGCCAGCAGAAAUGUCUGAGGAUGUUGGUCAUGUAGCAUGCAUUGUGACAUUUAGGGGCACAGGAGGUACCACAAACUCCACACCUGGAAGUGCCAUAAGCAGUCAUGAGCAAGGAAGGCUGCAGUGGGGAUCUGCGUUCCCAUGACCCUGGGGCCCUCAUCUUCUCCUGAAACAAACCCUUUGACUUUCAGUGCACAGAAGCCAACCCUCCUGGGCGAGGAGCUCUACCUUCUCCAUGGAUUUGAAGUGGGCUUCAUGGCAUUCCGAGUCGUCAAAGACCAGCUUUAGCUGAAGACUUGGGGAGCACUGAAGCAGAGACUGUUCUGUACCAAAAAUUUGAGGCACACCCAGAUGAUCUGUAUAUGGAAGGACUGCCCAGAAAACAUUCCUCUCAGAAGUCCCUCAUGGUAUAGAAUCCCAAGGCUGGAAAACAUCAUUCAAGUGGGAAGUCAAAUUAAAUUUGUUAUAAAAGACCAGAACUUCUGACUCACAGUAUAACUGAAGUUACUCAGCCACGAACAAAUACACCAGUGUCACAGUGAGUGACCACUAUUUGGAGAUCGUCUACCAUCUUAGGAGCUUUUGUUGCAAAGAACCAAGAAAUGGUCAUACCCUGUAGAGUGAAGUUUUAUGUUGUCAGGCAAUAAGUGUGUGGAAUCAAGUGUGAAUUUAGUAUGUGUAUCAGGUUUUUACAGAGUUUUGCAGUUAAUCAUUCUGAUGAAUACUAACGUGAAUAAGGAUUCUCAAGCUCGGUUGAUGGAUGUGUCCUGAAGUACUGCUCCUUCAGCUUUCACAGUAUCUUGGAGACAUUAGUGAUGGUCAGUGUGCCAAACAGAUUUAGUAUGUAUGAUGAAUGCAAAGUAGUUGAGAAAUUCUGUACUAGAGUAAGAAAAUUAUCCUGGUCCAUGAGCCCUGAAGUGGAGAAGAAAAAAAGUCAAUGCUUAACACACAGGUUAAUUUCCUCAGUGUGCUUUUGAUUGGGGCAAAUCAUCUAAAUAUUGGAAAAGAAGCUAGGAAGUGACAUGGUUUUUGCUCUCAGCCGACAUCCCAACCAACCAGUCUCUCAGUAAACCUCUAAGACAGACUCUCAGGCAGCCUUUCGGGCAGCCUCCCAGCCAGCCAGCCUCAAAAUCAGGCUUCCAUGCAGCCAGCAUUUUGAACAGCCUUCCAACAAGCCUCUCACCCAGGCAGAAAACCUGCAACUUGGCCAGCCUCCUAGCCAGCCUCUUGGUUAGCCUCACAUGAAGACAGCUUCUAGACCAGCCACCUAACAAGCUGUCCUGCCACCCAGCCUCUUAGCCAGACUCAGCCUGCCAAACUCUCAGCAAGCCUUUUAGCAAGCAUUUAAGGCAGCCUCUCAGACAGACAGCUUGUCACACAGGCUCUCUGCCAGCCAACCAGCCUCUCAUCCAGGCUCUCAGCACACCUCUCAGCAAGCCUCUAUGUCAGCCUCCCAGCCAGCCAGCCUCAAGACCAGCCUCCCAUGCAGACACUGUUUCAAACAGCCUUCCAGCAAGCCACUCGCCCAGCCAGAAAACCUGCCACUCAGCCCGCCUACUAGCUAGCUUCAUGGCCAGCCUCCCAUGCAGCCAGACUCUAGGCCAACCUCCUAAAACACAGCCUUCUACCUAGCCUCCUAGCAAAAUUCAGCCUGCCAGACUCUCAGCAAGCGAUUUAAGAAGCAUUUAAGGUAGCUUCUCAGACAACCUCUUACACGGGAUUCAGCCAGACUCCUAACCAGCCAGCAUCUUAUCCAGCCUGUUAUCUAGCUUCUCAGCAAGCCUCUAAGCCAAUAACAUUGUCAGCCAGGCUCCAGACCAGUUUUACCUGCAUUCAGUGUCUGGGCCACCCUCUGAGCAAGCCUCUUGGCUACACAGCCUGCCUGCCCCUGGGCCAGGCUCCUACCCGGCCAGCCCAUUGGCAAGAAUCUUAGUCGAGUUCUCGGCCAUCCAGCCUCUCAAAAAGCCUCUCAAGAAGCCUCUAAGCCAGCCUCCCGUGCAGCCAUCAUAUCGACCACACUCCUAGCAAGCCUCUUGGACAUCCACCCUGCCUGUCUCUUGGCCAGUCUUCUAACCACCCAGCCCGCCUGCCAAUCAGACUCUUAGUUGGCUUCUCAGCCAAGCAGCUCCUCAAGAAGCCUCUCAGCAAGCCUCUAAGCUAGCCACGUAGCCAGCCAGGCUCAAGACCAGCAGCCCCAUGCAGCCAGCGUCUUGGGAAGCCUCUUGACCUUCCAGUCUGCCUGCCUCUGGGCCAGUCUCCUAGCCAGCCAGCCUGUGAGCAAGAAUCUUAGCCUACUUCUUGGCCAUUCAGCCUCUCAAAAAGCCUCUCAACAAGCCUCUAAGCCAGACUCCUAGCCAACCAACCUCACGACCAGCCUCCCAUGCAGCCGGCAUUUCGACCAGCCUUCCAACGAGCCUCCCGCACAGCCAUGCAACCUGCCACUCGGAUGGCCUCCUAACUAGCCUCUCGUUUAGCCUCCAAUGCAGGCAGACUCUAGGUCAGCCUACUAACAAACCACCUUCCAUUCGGCCUCUUAACUGGAAUCUGCCUGCUGGGUUCAAGCAGGCCUUUUAGCAUGCCUUUAAAACAUCCUCUCAGACAGCCUCUCAAACAGGCUCUAUGCCAGCUUACCUGCCAGCCUCACAGAAAGCCUCUCACCCAGCCUCCCAGCCAGCAAGCCUCAAGCCCAGCCCCUCCUGCAGCCAGCGUCUCAGACAGCCUCCCAGCCAGCCUCUCGGCCAUCCAGCCUGUCUGCCUCUUGGCAAGCUUCCCAGCCAGCCAGCGUGCUGGCUAGACUCUUAGCCAGCUUUUCCGCCACGCAGCCUCUCAGCAAGCCUGUAAGCCAUCCUCUCAGCCAGCCUGCCUCAAGACCAGCCUCCAGUGCAGACAGUGUGUUGAACAGACUUCCAGCAAAACUCUCACCCAGCCAGACAUACUGCCACUUGGUCAGCCUCCUCACCAGACUUUUGGUUAGCCUCUGAUGCAGCAGGCCACUAGGCCAACCUCCUAACAAGCCAUCCUUGCAUUUACCCUCUUAGCCAGACACAUUCUGCAAGACUCCCAGGAAACUUUUUAGCAAGCCUAUAUGGCAGCCUCUCAGACAGACAAACAGCCUCUCACACAGACUCUCAGUCAGUCUACCUGUGCACCAGGCUCUCUUGCAGCCUUUCAGCAAGACUGUAAGCCAGCCUUGAAAUCUGCUGUCCUCUAGACCAGCCUCAAAUGCCAUUAGCCUCCCAGGGAAAUUCUCUGACCAUCCAGCCUGCCUGCCUCUUGACAAGCCUCCUAGCCAGCCACCAUGCCGGCCAGAAUCUUAGCCAGCUUCUCAGCCAACCAACCUCUCCGUGAGCCUCUCAGCAAGCAUGUAAGCCAUCCUUCUAGACAGCCAGCCUCAAGACCAGCCUUCCAUGCAGGCUGUGUUUGGAACAGCUUUCCAGCAAGCCUUUUAUCCAGCCAGACAACCUGCCACAUGGCCAGGCUUCUCAGUAGCCUUUUGCUUAGCCUCCUAUGCAGCAAGCCUCUAUGCCAGCAUCCUAACGAACCAUGUGUUCAGCCUCUUACCCAAACUCAUCCUGCCAGGCUCUCAGGAAACGUUUUAGCAAUUCUUUACAGGAGCAUCUCAGACAGACAGCCGCCCUCUCCCACAGUCUCUCGGCCUGUCUCCUGGUGAGCCAGACUCUCAUAAAGCAUUUCAACGAGGCUUGUAAGCAAGCCUCCUAAACUACCAUCCUCUAGACCAGCCUUCCAGGCCACCAGCAUCUUGGCCAGCCUUCCAGCAAACUGCUGAGAAAGACUCUAAGCCAGCAAGCUAACCAGCCAGCCUCAACACCAGCCUCCCACACAGCCAGCAUCUUCACCAGCCUUUCAGCAAGCCUCUAGCCAGGCCAGACAACCAGCCACUCAGUAAGCCUCUAAGAUUGCCUCUGAGCCUGGCCUGCCUCUCCUACAGCCAGCCUGUAUGUCAGCCUCCUAGUAAGCCAGCCUCCCACCCAUCCUGCUAGCCAGACUCAGCCUACUGGGCCCUUAGCCUUUCCACAAGCAUUUAAUGUGGCCUCUCAGCCUCUCACACAGGCUCUUGGCGAGACUCACAGCCAGUCAACCUCUUACUUCACCUUUCAUCCGGCCACUCAGCAAGCCUCUAAACCAGCGAUGUAGGCAGCCAGGCUCAAGAGCAGCCUCUUAGGCAGCCAACGUUUCGGCCAGCCUCCCAGCAAGACUCCUGGACUCCCAGCCUACCUUCCUCUGGGCCAGCUUCCUAGCCAGCCAGCCUGCCAGAAGGAGACUUAACCACCUUUUCAGCCAUCCUGUUUUUCAAAAAGCCCCUCAAGCCACUAAGCCAGCCUCCUAACCAGCCAGCCUCAUGACCAGCGUCCCAUGCAGCCAGUGUUUUGAACAGCAUUCCAACAAGCCUCUGCCCACCCAGAAAAACUGACACUCGGCCAGCCUUUUAAAUGCCUCUCAUUUAGCCUCCAGUGCAGCCAGACUCGAGGCCAGAACCCUAAAAAGCUUACCUUCCAUUCAGCCUCUUAGCUGGACUCCACCAGCCUGGCACCUUGCAGUCCAUUUAGAAUGCUUUUAAGGCAGCGUCUCAGACAGACAGCCUCUCAAACAGGCUCUCUGGAGCCCACCAUCCAGCCUCCCAGCCAACCCUCUAAGCCAGCCUCCCAGCCAGCAAACUUCAAGACCAGCCUCUCAUGCAGCCCAUGUGUCGGACAGCAUCCCAGCAAGCCUCUCUGACCAUCCAGGAUGCCUGCCUCUUGACAAGCCUCCUAGCCCACCACCAUCCCGGCCAGAAUUGUAGCCAGACUCUCAGUGAGCCGCUCAGCAAUCCUGUAAGCCAUCCUCCUCGCCAGCCGGCUUCAAGACCAGCCUUCCAUGCAACCAGUGUUUGAAACAGUUUUUCAGCAAGCCUCUCGCCCAGCCAGACAGCCUGCUACUUGGCUACCCUCCUCAACAGCCUUUCGCUAAGCCUGCCAUGCAGCAAGCCACUAGGCCAGCCUUCUAAGACUAGGUCUUGCUAUGUUGCCCAGGCUGGCCUCAAACUCCAGGCCUCAAGUGAUCCUCCUGCCUCAGCCUUCCAAAGUGUUGGGAUUACAGGCAUGAGCCAGCACCCCUGACUGAUAUAGAUGUUCAAGAAAAUAUUUCCACUUCCCUCUUUUCAUUAAAAAAAUUAAUGAACGUUGUUUUUCAUUUCCCUUAAAUGGAUUGUUUUGUUUUCAUUUUUGCAAAAGGAAUGAGAGAAAGAAAGUGCAAAGAAGAUUGUUCUGUUUUCAGGGGUAGACUCCCCUUUAUUGCAAUAUAUAAAUAUUUAAGAGAUCCCCAAGGUUUUCUAAAGCCAAAGAAGAUGCCAUCUGAUCUUUAUUUUAUCAGCAAGCUCGUUUUCAAUAUUUCUAUAUUAGUUUUAUAUCACAUAUAUUUUAUUCUUAUGUGUUGGAGAUAGAUUUUUUAGGUUUUUUUUAUUUUUUAGUUUUUAAAUUAUUUAUAUAUUUUUAGUUUUUAGUUUAGUUUAUUCUUAUGUGUGUGAGAUAGAUUUUUUAGUUUUUAUGUUUUGUUAGGAAUCAGGCAAUUGGAAGAUGCAUAUUUAUCAAUGAAACUUACAAUAUAAGGUAAAUAUUGACUUACUAAUAGUCAUACAAUAAUAUUUAUUUGAUCCCAAUUUUAUAUAGUUGAGUGUGUCAAGUUGCAGGUCAAGAUAACUUGGAGUUUCAACACCAAGUUUUAUUCAUGUGUUCAUUCAUGAACUGGAUGCCUCCAAUGUGGAGAAAUUUACAAUGAAUAAGCAUGAAUAGGACCUGGCCAGUGAGCUUUCAGUCUAGCAAGGAAUGUAGAACAGGAACAUAGCAACUUUAAUCCAAUAUAUAGAGAGAGACAAUUUUAAAUCCAACUGAAAAAUAAAUAGCUGUAUUAGACUGAGGCCAUCAAAUAAAUCUUCAUGCAAUAAGCAGCAAUAGGUCUUCAAAGACGACAAUUUAGCAAAAGGCACAAAGAUGAAAAGUGCAGAGCAUUAAGUAGUGUGUGGUUUAGUGUGCUGGAAAUAACAGGUUGGACAAGACUUGUGACUAGGAUAAACAGCAAAAAGGAUUUAUGAGAGCCUGAUGGCCACUAGUGACUGGGUAAGAUGUGUACACUUUAUGUGCAGGAAAAGGGACAAAGCUUUUGAGCAGCAGAGAAACAUGAUCAGAGGGAUGCAUGAGGAAGGUCCUCAAAACCCUAAUGAGUAAUCUUGGUUAAACCAUUUCACUAUAUUAUAACUCAAGUUUUGCAUGUAUAUCCUAUAAUAUAAACAACAUUUGUGCUCUUCCCAUAUGUAGAGAGGUCAAAAGAAAAUCUGUUCAUAUAGUCUUCCAAGCCAGUCACAAAGACUAAGGCAAAACACUUAUAUAAAUAAAAUUCAUAAGAUGAAUUUAAAAAGAUGAAAGAUAGUCAAUACAUUUUAUUUUAUCACUUGGAAGUUUAAACUCCUCAAAGUAUACCUUAAUUUAAAACACGGAGGAAAGGAAUUUUGGUCAGUAUCAUUUUAAAAUCUUUGAACUUUUUCAUGAGAGACUUGUAUAAAAAUAUUAAACCAGUGUCAUUGGCUGUGUUAACAUAUAUUUUUUAAAGAAAAGACACACAAAACCAAGUAGCAAACAGUCAAGCAAGACCAUUUAAAUUGCACUUUGUAGUACAAAUUCUUUCCUUUUUUCUUCAUUGGGAAUAGCUUGUCAAGGCCUAAUGGUUUAUUUAAAUGGAGGGAUUUUUACAAGCGUAGAAUAUUAGGACCCUUUAUUAAAUUUUACACUCUGUGCAUAAACAAGAGGCAGCAUAUGAAGUUUCCUAUGGAACACAAAAUCCCCUUUUAAAAUCACAUAUUCAGUUUAAAACCUCAGCACUUCAUGGGCAUUAUUUAUGCCCAACAAAUAAAUUGGCUUCUUGCCUGUAUCAAUUGCUUACCUUAUUAAAACAUUUCGGGGAUAACAUAUGUAAAGGAGUCAUUUGGGGGUACUUAUCCCAAUUCUCAGGGUAUCAUUUAUUUUCAUCACAAAGAAUGCCACCUCAACCUGCUGGGCAGGAGCAUUCACUCUUUCCUUCCUGGCACCUUCCUCCAUUCAUGCAGUCCUCGCAGCUCAAGCUACAGUUCUGUAAUGUGAUACCACCUUAGUUGGCCCUUAACUGUCUACGUAACUAAAAAUCAAACUGAAAUCUUUAAUUACCCCAAGAAGCUAUGAUCCUUGAGUAUAGUUCCCAAAGAGUCUUGAAAAAAGGACAACAGCAAGAUCUAGUUUUAAAAUAAAGCUAUUUUACUUUUUCCAAUUAGUACACUGGAAUAUUGUCCCUAAGAAUUUUUAGAAUCUUUAGGAUUUUUUUAAAAAAAGAAAUUAAUAUUGAUUCAAGAACAUAAAAAUAAUUGAUGUUCCUGGAAAUUUGAUGCUUUUUCUUUCCAAAUAUUUUAUGCAUAGUUUUUUCCCAAGUAAAUGUUUAUAUUAAAAUUUAAUACACACACAGAGAAGUAAACAAAUCUUAACUGUAUACUUCAAACUUCUUUUCACAUUGUAAAUAACUCAUGUAAAUGCCACUCAGAUCAAGAUGCAGAAUAUUACUAGCAAUCCAAAAUCUCAAAGGUGACUUGAUAAUUUUCAAUCAUUAUCUUCAUAAAUUAAGUGCUCUUCUGAUGUCUAUCAGCACAGAUAAUUUUUCUUAUUUUUCAACAUUUUUUAGGUGGAAUUGUAAAGUAUGUAUUCUUUGGUGCCAAGCUUCUUUCAUUCAAUAUAAUGUAUGUGAGAUUCACCCACAUUGUGUAUGCAAGAGUUUAUUUUUUAUGGCUAUAUGGUAUUCCAUUGUGUAAAUGUACCAUAAUGUGUUAAUUUAUUCAUUCUGUUUUUGAGGGAAAUUACCAUAUUGAAUAAAGUUGGAGAGACUUGUAUUCAGUUGUUAAAACUCAUUCCACUUUAAGUUUUGUUCCUGUUUCUAGACUAGGCCCUUUCAGGUGCCAUAAUUGAAAACUUGGCAUUUUUACCAAGGCCUCUUUGGCAGGCCUGAAAUUCAUCUUCUGCCUCCCUACCAUCAUGAAACUGCUGGUAAUUGUUCUUCACUCUUCAAGCUCUUAGCAGCUAUCUUAUAGAUUUCCUGGCACAACCCAUUAACUGGCAAAUGGCUUGAGGAGAAAAGCACCAGAGACCAUCCUACUUGUCUGGUCUUCUCUUCUUUGCAGAUCUUGGCCACUCAAGUUCUGACUGUCUUUGUUGCCUCAAACUAUUUCUCUUCUGAUUUUUAGUGGCUAAAGCUGAUUUUUGCUUCCUCUUUUGACCUUUAUUAAUCAAUAACAAUGUACCACCACAUAGAAAGCAAUUAAAUUAAAGGAAUUUAAUUUAAAAACAUUAAAGUAUUUCUAUUUUUAUACAGAGACAUUUAUUGAUAUUAUGAUUUGACCACUGCAUGAAAAUAUUUUUCCCAUUUUUCUGAAUACAUUCUAAAGAAAUCAUCAAGCUUUGAUAUUGUUAAAAUACAACAAAUAGAAGGAGAACAAAAAGAGCAGCUCGAUUUUGCAAAGAAAGAAAGCAGUGAACUGGCUGCAAACAGUUACUUCUGAUAGAGAUUUAUUUUGAUCAGAAGGGAUUUGAUGCUUGAGUUCUGUUAUUUAGAUACAUAAGAAAAACUGCUCACAUUUUGAAGAUUUCUUUUUUGGUUCACUUAAGUAUAUUAAACAAUUAGUUCUCUACAUUUUAAAACCUACAAAGGAACUACAUUUUAGGGCUAUUUAAGGUAAAUUUUAACUAUAUAAAGUGACUUCUAAUGGAAUGUUAAUAGAAGAAUUAAAAUAUCUCAAUCUUUCUCCCCAUUAUGUGAAUUUAAAGAUAAUUUUCAUCUGCAUUUCCCCAUAUUAACUUCAAGGGCACCCUUGCUUCUACAAGUACCUACUCAGCACUGCCUUACUGUGCAAAAGAGAAAAAAAGACAAAAGAUGAUGGAUUUGAUGGGAAGCUCUGAAGAAGUGACCUUGGCCCUACUUUUCUUGCAAACUUCAUGUUAAAACAUAUGACAGCAAUAAAUAUUGACGGUAAAAUUGCCUACACAAAUGUAAAUUAUCUAAAAUAAAAGUGCAACGAGGUAAAUUCUUUUACACACCAAAUUGGUGCAACGCAGUCAUUUCUCUAGGAGUAUCUUUUUCCUGUUUUCUUUUUUGUAGGUGGGAAGCAGAGAGGUAGCAACAUCAUGUAGCAGUUGAGGUGGGCUCUUGAAGAGAAGACCUGGAAGCCUCACAACUUCUAAUUCCUCUUCUUCGUCUAGCUCAUCAUCAUCUAAAGCUCAGGCCGUAGAGGAAAAUGGGAGGUUUCAACUUGGUUAAAAGGAGGAAAAGCUGUGCAAAGGUUGAUAGAGAAAUGAGAGAGUUUGAACUGGACGGCCAAGGCAGCGGAUGACUGAAAGGUAAAAUGCUUUGAGAUGACCAUUUCAAAAGUCUAUUAUAAAGGAAAGUGAGAAGCUGCCAGCUCAAAGUUAAAACUGUAGCAGAGAGAACAGAAGAAAAUAAGGAAAGAUCUCAGCCUCUGAAGAGAGAAAAGGGAAGGCAGGUCGAGUUAAGAAAUAUGUUGCCUCCAUUGCUCCUGAAGAACAAGAUGAGGGUGGAAAUAGUUUUAAAAAGAUAUUAAUACAAUAAAAUUAUUCAG